rnacentral:lncRNA from 1 species
GUAGAUGUGUAUAGGGGACAGGGAUACUGGAGUGAUGGAGGUAGAUGUGUAUAGGGGACAGGGAUACUGGAGUGAUGGAGGUAGAUGUGUAUAGGGGGAAGGGGACAGGGAUACUGGAGUGAUGGAGGUAGAUAUGUAUAGGGGGAAGGAGACAGGGAUACUGGAGUGAUGGAGGUAGAUGUGUAUAGGGGACAGGGAUACUGGAGUGAUGGAGGUAGAUGUGUAUAGGGGACAGGGAUACUGGAGUGAUGGAGGUAGAUAUGUAUAUGGGUCAGGAGACAGGGAUCCUGGAGUGAUGGAGGUAGAUAUGUAUAGGGGGAAGGGGACAGGGAUACUGGAGAGAUGGAGGUAGAUGUGUAUAGGGGACAGGGAUACUGGAGUGAUGGAGGUAGAUAUGUAUAGGGGGAAGGGAUACUGGAGUGAUGGAGGUAGAUAUGUAUAGGGGGAAGGGGACAGGGAUACUGGAGUGAUGGAGGUAGAUGUGUAUAGGGAACAGGGAUACUGGAGUGAUGGAGGUAGAUAUGUAUAGGGGGAAGGGGACAGGGAUACUGGAGGGAUGGAGGUAGAUAUGUAUAGGGGGAAGGAGACUAUAUACAGGGUCAAUUCCAGUUUAUUUUUGUCACUGGAGGUUGGUGGCACCUUAAAUGGGG